rnacentral:rRNA from 1 species
UACAGAGGGGGCAAGCGUUAUUCGGAAUUAUUGGGCGUAAAGGGCGCGUAGGCGGCUAUUCAAGUGGCGGGUGAAAUCCCUCGGCUUAACCGAGGAACUGCCUGCCAGACUGGAUGGCUUGAGACCGGGAGAGGUGAGUGGAAUUCCAGGUGUAGCGGUGAAAUGCGUAGAGAUCCGGAGGAACCCCAGAGGCGAAGGCGGCGUCCUGGCUCGCAUCUGACGCUCAGACACGACAGCAUGGGGAGCGAACGGG